UUCCAUCGUGCUGCUCAUCUCUUGCUUGCCCUGUCCAGUCAGGAGGAUGUCGUCGCUAGGUAAUGUUCUGUGGGAUGUCUAGCCGGUCCAGAUCUCUUUGAACUAUGAGAGAGUGCAGGAGAGUUAACAGCUGAAGGGCAAAAUUAAAUGAAUAUUACACAUUCCAUGUGAAUGUGAACUGUUGCUGAUCCUCUUUUUUAACAGGAAAAGAAAAUGCGUUUGCCAGCUCAGUAACUGCAUACUAUGCACCUGAGGCCUAGCAACAUAUUGCUGUAGCAACGCAGGUCCAGCCUGGCAGGUGUGACAGGGCUACUGCUUUGAGCUGCUUGCAUUGACAUUGCAGUCGUUCUUCCAAAUCCAUCUGGUUUGUGCGGAGGUCGACGGGCAAAUUAAACAGAUGAAAGAGACCACUGCAGCUCCUCUCCCUGCUUCCUCUGCACCCCUCCCCUGCCUCCCACCCCUCCACCACCACCAUCUUUUAGGCUCUUAAUGAUGGCACUGACCUUCCCUGUCCUACCCACUCUCAAUGCAAUAUUUUUUAUUUACAGUCUUGGUUGGGAGUGGGUGGGAUAUAAGAAGUUUUUCCUUGUUUUCCAGCUCUCACCCUACAGGUCAAGGAUCCAAUAUGGUGGUUACUCCAGCUCAUCCCCAAUUAUGCAUUUGGAAACUGAGGAAAUGACAACUGGGUAAGUUCAUGGACCCAAUGGACCUACCAUAAGUUAGACUUUAGAUAGAUCUCCAUUUAUUACAUGGCCCCCAUGAGCUGCCAUUCUAACAGUCACAAUGACACUUCGGGUCUGUGGGAAUCAAACCCUAGGUCCAAUAGUCUUUGCAAGAGCUGGUUAUUCCCCUUGUCCCACUGUUGACAAAUGGUCAACUGAGUAAAUGGUCAUAGGUCCUUUUGAGGAACCAUUGUCGCACAUACUUUCUGCAGUGUUGCAAGAUCCUUCCUCCUAAGGACCCAGCCACCUCUUCAGUCACUGGGUCCAGAUAUGAAAAUUGCUUCGAGUCUGGUAACUGAGCAAGAGCUGAGCUUUUUAUUGUGACUACACUUGACCCCCCCUGCUCUUCCAGUCUUGUCUUUUUCUGGUUGUAGAUAUCAAGGAAUACCCUUAUUGGAUACCCAUCUGUUUUACCUCAAAGAUAUUCUGCUUUGUUUUCACAACUUGCUGCAGAUGAAGGCUGUUUGGCUGUCCCCCAGCCUUGCUGAUCAUGAUGGCCUCCUGGCCCUGAUGGUGAAGCACCACCCCCUGAUCUCUAUAAUUGGUAUAUAUCUGGGGGCAAGGGCAUGGCAACCAUAGAUUUUUAAUGAGCCCAGCUCUGGCCUGCAGAGGAGAACCAGCACUAAACUUUUUGGUGAUGACAGUGUGCCUCUCACCCGCACAUUCCUUUUAACCUUGGUGAAUGGUGUGUCUCUAGGCUUUCCCAUGGAAUGUCAUCAGGUCGUCUUUUAGCCUAAUUGUCAGUCGCCCUUGUUAUUGCUCUGCAGGGCACCAUCUGUCAUGCCAAUGUCCUUUAGCUCUUUAUUUCUUCCUUAAUAGGCUACCAAAGCAACACAGGUGUUUCUCCUUUGCUCCAUGUUGGUGAGUCCUUUUUUUUUUUUUUUUGGCUUUUUAGCACCGCACCUGUGGCAUAUGGAAGUUCCCAGGCUCGGGGUCCAAUCAGCCUACACCACAGCCACAGCAAUGCAGGAUCCGGGCCAUGUCUGCGACCUACACCACAGCUUGCAGCAAUGCCAGAUCCUUGACCCACUGAGCAAGGCCAGGAAUCCAACCUGAAUCCUCAUGGAUACUAGUCAUGUUCGUUUCCACUGUGUCAUUCUGACUAGUACUUUCUCUCAGCUUCUAAGAGCCACAUCCCCUAGGAUCCUUACCAGGGUGCUAAAUCCCGUGAAGUAAGCAAGUGCUCGCAGUUGAAUGUGUUCUUCCUUUUUCAGUGUUAUCUUCCUGCCCCCUUAAUCAAGCACCCUCAGAAUCCAGUCCCAGCAGCACGGUCCUGGCUCCUGCCAGUAUACAUUAGCUAAGUCUCUCAGCUCCUUUGGUGUGUGAUCUUCUUUCUCUCUGGUCAAGCCCAGCAUAUCCCCGGCCAAGAGAUACUAGAAUUUAACUGGUUAUUCAGCUGGCAGCGUCGAGUGUAGAUGGGGAGCAUGCCACAUCUGCUGCCUUGCGGGGGAAAAGCCUCACGCUCUCUUCCAUAUGAGAGAAGUGCUAGCUCUUUCUAGAAGGGUACACUACCUCUCCAAGCUCUGGGGGUUCCGGGAGAUUUGCAGUUCCCAUAAUGCUUGGAACAUCCUUGGAGAUCUCCCACCUCAUAUUUCAAAGUCCUGUAUUUUCCCUACCAAAGCCCUGUCCUUAGCAUACCAGACCUACAUUGGCUGAGCAUUUUAAUGUUGCAGGAGCUCUGCAGCACUUAAGAUCAAAUCCUGUGUCUGCUUCUCAGCUUUGCCUGCACUUUCACUGCAGGAGCUGAGGGCCUCUUUGUAAGCCAGCAGAGGCUCUGGUCUCUGGCUCUCACACUUACAUUUAAUUGUCAGUCGCCCUUGUUAUUGCUCUGCAGGGCACCAGUACAAUUUAAUAACCAAUGACUCUGCUAUCCUUACAAGUUUUGUGCCCUUCGUAGCUUUCAGAUGCUUGAAUCAUCUCACCUGCAAGGGUCCUUUCCUCCAUCAAGAGAUUUUUCUAGGUCAUCACUACCGAAAUCUUGAGCAACUGGGCCACUCAGGAUAGUAUUUAUCAGCCAGGCAGUGAGUGAGCCUAUUUCCAAAUUCCAUCUUACUGCCUAUUUUCUUGAACCACUCCCAUUACCACCUGGGUCUGUUCAGGUUCUCUGAGAAACAGAUGCCAGUUAGGGUGAGACAAGCAAGAGAUUUAUUGGAGGGAAUUGUGUGUGUAGGAUAAAGGGGAGGGAGCAGGAGGAGGUGGCGAGAGCCUCGUACCUGUGCUAUAGGCUUGACACCUGUGACAGGAGGGCGGGAAGAAGGACCUGUUAGGAAGAGCCUCUGACUGCAGUGCAGUUCUAGGAAGGCUUCAGCCAAACCCAUGGGGAGUCCUGAGUCAAAGUUGCCUGUCAGAGAAGUCCUGAACCUCAGGGUGUGGGCCAGCACUAAGACCCCAACAGCUGAGGAAGGUGUAGACUUGGCAGGAACCUGGUGGUGAAUCCAGGGGGUUUGCAACUGCGGUUUUAGAUAACUCUGCUCCCCACUGCCAAUUCUCUUGAAGGAGAUCUGAGUGGCACACUUCCGUGGCUGCCAUAACCACCCACUCUCAACCUGUUGUCAUUAUGAUUUAAUAUCGAUUUGUAUUUCUGUAUAGGCAAUCAUUUGUUAAGUGCACAGUCAUUUUUUGCUUAUCCAGAAAUUAAUGUAAGUGAAAGUGUAGUUCAUUUGCAAAGUGCUAUUUAAAUAUUGGUCUUAAGUGGUAUUCACUUAAGUGAUAUUAAUUUAAUAUCGGUAUUAAGUGAUACUGUCAUGAGAUUGGAGGUGACCAUGGGAGUGAAAGGAGCCAAGCUCAACACUUAGCACUUUGGCACAUAGUGGUGCUCAGUGUUUGUUGAUGUAAAAUAAAACCCAGACUCAUGUUCCCGUUACUGAUGAUUUUAGUUAUAUAUUUGCCUGAUUUAACCCCUUUUCCCUAAUUCUUUGUCCUCUGUAAGCCUGGGAAUGCAGAAUGUCCCUAUUUAAGGAGAAUGCUAUCUUAAAAUAUCUUUUGUCCUGAUAAUAUUAAAAAUACACUGCCUACAUGCAUGAACAAAUAACAUAUGGUUCAAUUUUUGGAUGGUUAUAAUAUCAAAAAAUUUAUUUGAUAAAAUAAAAAUUAGAUUAAAUUCAAGCCAUUGAACUUUGUGCAUCAUAACUGGUUAAAUUUAUUUUGAUAAAUAUGGUCAAGCUCUUUUUUGUCACCCAUAUGACACCUGAUUCUGAAUAAAUUAACUGAAAAUAUAUCUGUGUACAAAAAUGCAGUCAAAUAUUUAAAGUUAGACCAAAUAGUUGUUUACAAAGUAUCUUUCUGAUGUCAUUGUUCCAUUGAAGAAUAAUCACUAUAACUGGAACAGGACCCACCAUGAUUCUUAAUGAAUGGGGGUGAGAAUGUGUUUAUCAUAUCACGUAGUUAAAAAACAAAUGCCAGGAGUUCCUGUUGUGGCGCAGUGGAAAUGAAUCUGACUGAUAUACGUGAAGACAAGGGUUUGAUCCCUGGCCUCGCUCAGUUGGCUGAUCCAUCCAUCCGGCAUUGCUGUGAGCUGUGGUGUAGGUCAUAGGUGUGGCUUGGAUCCCAUGUUGCUGUGGCUGUGGCAUAGGCUGGCAGCUGCAACUCCAAUU
rnacentral:lncRNA from 1 species